GUGCUCGCUUUGGCAGCACGGAUACUAAAAUUGGAACGAUACAGAGAAGAUUAGUGUGGCCCCUGUGCAAGGAUGACACACAAAUUCAUGAAGCAUUUCAAAUUUUU